rnacentral:lncRNA from 1 species
ACAGAUGGACUAUGGAUGAGUUUCAUAGUGCUAUGGCUUGGCCUCAGGAGCAGGCACAGGGAAGCGGAGCCGGAGCAGCUGAAGCUCCAGCUAUGGAUGAAGAUGAGGAGGAGGAUGGCGAUUUUGAGGAUGCAGAGGCUGGAGAGGAUGAGGACUCCGAUUACGACAUGGAGUGAUAUGGCAUUUACUGAUGGAUGCCAGUAUAUUAGAGCAAGGUUUAUUUUUCUUUUUCUCUUAUAAUUUGAACUUGUAGUGUAGGUUUGCUUAAGUU